UACGGGAGGCAGCAGUGGGGAAUAUUGCACAAUGGGCGCAAGCCUGAUGCAGCCAUGCCGCGUGUGUGAAGAAGGCCUUCGGGUUGUAAAGCACUUUCAGUCGUGAGGAAGGUAGUGUAGUUAAUAGCUGCAUUAUUUGACGUUAGCGACAGAAGAAGCACCGGCUAACUCCGUGCCAGCAGCCGCGGUAAUACGGAGGGUGCGAGCGUUAAUCGGAAUUACUGGGCGUAAAGCGCAUGCAGGUGGUUUGUUAAGUCAGAUGUGAAAGCCCGGGGCUCAACCUCGGAAUUGCAUUUGAAACUGGCAGACUAGAGUACUGUAGAGGGGGGUAGAAUUUCAGGUGUAGCGGUGAAAUGCGUAGAGAUCUGAAGGAAUACCGGUGGCGAAGGCGGCCCCCUGGACAGAUACUGACACUCAGAUGCGAAAGCGUGGGGAGCAAACAGGAUUAGAUACCCUGGUAGUCCACGCCGUAAACGAUGUCUACUUGGAGGUUGUGGCCUUGAGCCGUGGCUUUCGGAGCUAACGCGUUAAGUAGACCGCCUGGGGAGUACGGUCGCAAGAUUAAAACUCAAAUGAAUUGACGGGGGCCCGCACAAGCGGUGGAGCAUGUGGUUUAAUUCGAUGCAACGCGAAGAACCUUACCUACUCUUGACAUCCAGAGAACUUUCCAGAGAUGGAUUGGUGCCUUCGGGAACUCUGAGACAGGUGCUGCAUGGCUGUCGUCAGCUCGUGUUGUGAAAUGUUGGGUUAAGUCCCGCAACGAGCGCAACCCUUAUCCUUGUUUGCCAGCGAGUAAUGUCGGGAACUCCAGGGAGACUGCCGGUGAUAAACCGGAGGAAGGUGGGGACGACGUCAAGUCAUCAUGGCCCUUACGAGUAGGGCUACACACGUGCUACAAUGGCGCAUACAGAGGGCGGCCAACUUGCGAAAGUGAGCGA
rnacentral:rRNA from 1 species